rfam:Freshwater sediment metagenome lwMethylamine_BCHP25523_g1, whole genome shotgun sequence.
AAGGCCGCGAGGAAUUGUCCGCAGGAAGCCCGAGCGCAAAGAUGCGAGCCGACGAACAGAAACUGCAUAGAAGGCUUAGUCCUGGGGCGAGUUGGCACUUGACAACGAAGUCCAAGGGUACACGGGAUAGGGUAAAUGCAGCGGUUGUGCAUCGACAGAUCAUGAA